rfam:Acetobacter indonesiensis 5H-1 DNA, contig: Abin_060.
UGGGGCGUAGCCAAGCGGUAAGGCAGCGGAUUUUGAUUCCGCCAUGCGGAGGUUCGAAUCCUCCCGCCCCAG